AUGAACGCAUCCGUUAAGCAAACACCUACCCCGCGCCAGCUGUGUGAAACGCUGGAAGCACUGGGCAUUUGGAAUACACCAGGCUGUACCGGAGACAAAGCCCCUACCCCGCCCGAAGGCUGUGGGCUGACCACGGAGCCCAUCAGUGCCCUGGACGAGAGCAGUCAAGUGGAGAGCUGGAGAAAGGGACCAGCAUGGAAGGGCGAGAGAGGCGUGGAGGCACCAGACAACUCCAUCCGAAGCGGGUGGAGACCUGGGCUGGACCUGGAAGGUCCCUGUGGGAUUCCCCACAAUUCUGCUGUCGGACGAACUGGUACAAACGUCAGCCAGACCCAGCGUUUAUGCUUCUUCCUGAAGACUUCUAGCAGUUGCCUGGAGUUUGCCAUAUUCACAUAG
rnacentral:lncRNA from 1 species